rnacentral:snRNA from 1 species
CCGUCCAAGGCUAAAUACGGG